UUGAGUUGUGAGUUGCAACCACUGAGAUAAAUUAUGAAACUUUUCAUGAAAUAUCACCAAAUUUUUUUAUUGUAAGUGUCCCUCUCCAUGGAAAAAUUAAAGAACAUAUUGUCUUUGUUGAGUUAUGGCAAAAGCCAUAAAUAUUCAUUCCAUGAGUAUCUCAUAACAUGUAUAAUUAGCAAAUACCUCAAAUUCAUGCCAAUGUUUGUGUGUGGAUGCUAUGGAAUAUGCAAUGACAUUUAGGGAUAUUCUAAGAAUCUUUGUUGCAAUUUCCUAUUUGUACCUCUCCUGUAAAAACUAAAAUAAAAUAAAUAAAAUUAAAUGAACUUUUUUGCAUUUCUUUCUUGAUGAGAAAAUAUUCAGUGCCUUUGUUUUAUCUGGAACCACUUCAACACUAGGAGUUGGAUGUCAAAAUUAAAAAUUGGUAAAGUAUUUAUUGUUCUAGGAAAACUAAACCUUGCCAUUCAUGCCAUCUCACAUCAACACUAGGAGUUGGAUGCCAAAAAUGAAAAUUGGGAAGUGUUUAUUGUUCAAGGAAAACUAAACCUUUGCCUUAACAGCUAUCAGUUUCCUUAAAGAUUCUCAACUCAAAUGACUGUUUUCCCUUACUUUAUUAUUCUUCACAGCUCACUCUACAAAUCUUUCUUGUAAAUCCUUUGAGGCAAACUUUUGUUUAAGCUAGCCCACAAGUGUCAAAAAGCAUGUGGAAUAAUGAAUUUGUGAAAUAAUGAAAGAAGUAGAUCAAGAAAAGUAGGAGAUUUCAAUUGAAGUUAUUACAAAUUGUCAACCACUAUUACCAACUUUGAAAGGAACAGAAAAAAUACCAAUAAAUUAAACACCAAUACUCAUUUGAGUUAUAGGAUUGUGCAACAAAGAUCUUCAUCAAUACAUUCAAUUAAAAUAAGUUGAUCCGAUUUCAAGGUUUAAUAUAAGUUUUAAAUAAGCUUUUUUAUUCAAAGGAUUUAUAUUGUCUAUUACUAUAUCAGCAUAAUAUUCAUCUUAUAACUAGUUCUUGUUAAAGGUGUAGGAUUUUUAAUUCCAAGGAACUUAUACUACCAAAGAGGGAAGAGGGAAAUUAGAGAUUUUUCAAGAGCAUACAGUGAAAUUUGUGUGGGUUUUGAAUGUUUAGAAAAUCCUUUUUAGUUCAAAAUGAUUAUUAUUUUUCCCUUAAUGAGAUAGCUUUUUAAUUUUUCUUUUCAUCUUUACAAUCCCCUAGCUUGUCUGAAGAUGACACAACAUGAAUGCAAGGUGAUACCACGUCAAUAUGGUGACAUGAUAUCAUGGAGGCAUCGGAUCCUUGUGAUUUGAGUCUCUCACCCAACUCAAAUACCUAAUACAAUCCUUUUCAGUUAUAAGAAUAAGGAUUCUAAAUAAGAUUUAUCCUUCAGAUAAUUUUUCUCCCUACAAUUGACUCUUCAUUUGAUAACUAAAUUUUACUCCUAACAAAUAUUAUUGAUUUGCAAAUUUGUUAUUGAUUUGGUAUUUAAUUUUUUUUUUUUUUUUAGUUUUUAGUAUGAAGAUGUAAAAAUGUCUUCAUACUAAAAUGUUAUUUGCCAAAAAAAUAUUUACUAAAAAAUAUUCUCGUUAUGAAAGUACAAAACUGUUUUCAUGCUAAAAUGUUACUUAUAGAAAGUUCCCAAAAAAAAAUUUACUUGUAAAAAAAGUGUUGAUAAGAUGGUAUAAACGUGUUAUCUAAUAUAUUUCACAUCUGAAAAAAAAAGAGGUACCCAAGAAAGAGAAGAUUUAAUAUAAUAAUCUAUGGUGGUUGUUGUUGUUGUUGUUAUUAUUAUUAGGGAUACCAUAUAAUAAAUAUUUAUUAUUAUUGAAUCAGAGUUAUUAUGUAAGCAUUAUCUGAUAAUGUUUGAAUUUAAUUGAUACAUUAUUGAAUGUAGUAACAUUCCUUGAGAUUCUAUUCAAGUCUCCAUUCGGUGAUGAUAGGUUCUAUUAGUUUGUCUAAAUUUAUAAAUUAAUAUUUUAUCAAAAUAUCAUUUGAUAUUCCAUGUUUCCAAAGGGUCCUGAUAUUUUGAUCCUUGUUUGUCCCACUAACCAUGCAUCUAAGUGACAUUAGCAUACCUCUUGCGGUAAAACUGUUCCUCCCUCUACAAUUGGUGUAGAAUAUAAGUUUUCAAGAGCAUUCUAUUUUCAGAAUGCCUGUUGCAAUUGGUUUUACUGAUAGAUAUUUUGCUGCCAGUCAGUAUGCUGGGCCUGGUUACUUUGGCUAACACUUUUUGUAGACAUGGGUCCAGGCAGCAUUCUAUUAGCCACAAUCAAUAACAAACACCAGUUAUCACCUUCAAAGAUGUACAAAAGUUGGUUAAAAAGAAACCAACACCACAACAAAAUCAUUUCCUUCUCAGAAGGGGUAAAACCCUCUGGAUGGAAGAACAAUAUACACUCGAGGGGAAAGAAAGUAUCCAACAAAAGAAGCCAAGUGCAUUGCUUCUUGUUUAGUGAACUGGUAAGCAACUUAAUUAGCUGAACAAGGAACCCAAGAAAAAAAGCAACCCAAAAUAUCUAUGAUUUUUCGCAUCUAGUUGGCAAACUUCCAUGAACCUUUCUCCCUUUUGGACACCCAAGAUAUUACAAUAGUAGAAUCUCUUUCCACAAAUAGCUUGGAUAGACAAAGUUUUAGCCUAGUGUAAACCCUUAAAUAAUGCUAAUAUCUCUGCCUCAAUAGCCAACCCUUGUUUUGCAUGCUUAGAGUAAACUCUCAACACUACUUGAAUGAUCUCUAGUAACUCCUCCUAUACCCAAUUGUGUAGGAUUGCCUAGAGAACAUUUGUCAAAAUUUAACUUUAUCAACCCAUUGGAGGGGUAACCAAUCUAUCAUUACUUUCCUCUUUGACCUGUUUGAGCAGCAAGGAUUCUUCUAAUCUGGCAAUGACAUAUAUAAAGGAAAACCUGCAAAAGGUUUUGUGACUAAGGUCCAUAGGGAGAAAAAAAAACGUAAAUCAAAUCUCAAAUGGCAUCUACAAAUCUCCAUUUGUCUUCAAAUAUCCUUGCUUUCCUUUCUAACCAAAUCAAGGAUAAAACAGCCAUCUGUCAAAGAAUCUUAUCUCUAGGUAGGCUGCCAAAGCCUUUAAGGGAGAUUCCCAACAUCUUUGGCUAAGCCUCCAAGAGGAGUCCAUUCGAGAUUGGCUAUGCUGAAUGGUCUAUGCCAAUGUUGUAGUGCAGUGGGACAGUUAAAAAAAAUAUGAUUAGCUGAUUCACUACUCUUCAAAACACAUAAUUCAUUGAUCUAGGCAAAGUGUUUUGUAGGGCUUCCUCAAUUGAAGCAAGUCAUUGGUAUUAACCAUCUUAUUAACCACAAGCCAAGCAAAAACGUUAACUUUUGGUGGAGCAGCUUUUGAGUUCCAUAUUACCUUAGCAGGAGCAAAAGGGGGCAAAACAGGAGAGGCAUGCAAGGUUGAGAAAGCUUACAGAAAGCUCAUCGAGAAAAGACUUGAGGGAAUCAAAGAAUAAACGUGAGGGAAGGCUCAUAGAAAGAUUUACGCCCCUCUAUGCAUUAUUUUGGACAAUUGGAAGGAAAGGAAUUGAACAGUGUUUGAAAGUGAGGAGCAGCUGGUUCAAGCACUAAGAGUAUGUUAAGUUCUCUUAUUUCCCCAAUAGAUUAUGAUGGCUUGUUAGUUAAAGUAGGUGCAUAGCAUAUAUGGCUCAGGCACAUCUUUGAAUUUGUGUACUGCAAAGUAGAUGAAGGAUUAGAUAGCACUAGCUAUAAUGCAUACAUGGGUAGCUGGAGAACCACUCAUAAAUGAAUGUGCCAACCAAAAAACAAUCAGCAUUCUAGUUUUUUGUUAGGAAAUUGAAACUAACAUAAUCCAUAAGUUUAGAAAAGCUGGUUCUGCUGAAACGUAGCUGAUGAUAACAGUAAUAAUAAACUUGGACCAAUUCUGUGCAAUAAUUCUGGAGGUUCAUUUUUGUUUUCCCUGGAAAGCAUGAAGCUAAAGAAAAUAUCUGAAUUGGUGUAGGUGGUGGAAUUGAUUUUUUUCUUCUCCUUUGUUCCCUAGUGGUAGUAUUUGGAGAUCGAGUGCACCUUCUAAGGUGGCUUUCUUUACUUGGGAAGCUUCUUGGGGAAAAGUCUUAACUUUGGACCAACUUCAAAGGAGGGGGCACUUCUUGGCAAAUAGGUGUUUUCUUUGUCUCUCUGAAGUAGAGACGGUUGAUCACCUUCUUCUUCAUUGUGCAAAGACUCGAGUUCUUUGGAAUCUUCUUUUCUCCCUCUUUGGUGUGUCUUGGAUUCUUUCUUGUUCACUUAAGGAAACUCUUCUUGGGUGGCAUGGGUCGUUUGUGGGUAAAGCUCGUAAAAAACUUGGCAAACGACCCCCUUAUGUAUAUUUUGGACAGUAUAGAAGGAAAGGAAUUUGCUAGUGUUAAGUAAUGAGGAGCUUUCGCUCCAAAGAUUGAAAAUUUCUUUUGUAUGUAACCUAUGGUCUUGGGUUAAGGGUGUCCAUAGAUUUGAGCCCUUUUUCACUUGUAAGCUUUAUUGAUUGGUUAGGUUUUAAGUAAGGGCAGAUGAUGUUUUUUGUUUCUAUCCUUCCCCCUUUGGUUUGAGCCUUUUGGCUUCUAUUGUAUACUUCUUGUAUACUCUAAGGGCACUAUUUUUGGUGUCCCCUCUUUUCUUUAUAUACAACUUUUCCUUAUCUAUAAAAAAAAGAAAAAAUGAUUUUUUUUCUCAUAUUUUAGUUUCUGAUUUGUUAUUUUCUAUUUUGGUUUUUUCAACAAUAUGAUCACUAUGGUUGAGCAGAUAUUCGUAAUUAUUUACAGGAUUCAAUGUGGAGACCGUGGAAUACAAGAACAUUAGCUUCACCGUGUGGGAUGUCGGGGGUCAGGAUAAGGUAUUAAUAUUUGUCUAUGAACCAUAUUCUGCUAUUCAUUUCAUAUUUCAGAAUAUAUUUAUAUAUAGCCAUUAUUUCUGUAAGAUUUUUACUGUCUCUCUUUCUUUCUGUCAUGCCGUAUCUCAUUGACAAAGUUACUGCUAAAAUCUUUAUCCAUAUAAUGGCUAAAAAAUGCAGUUUGAUUCUUAUACAGAUUCGUCCAUUGUGGAGGCACUACUUCCAAAACACUCAGGGUCUUAUAUUUGUGGUGGAUAGCAAUGACAGAGAUCGAGUUGUCGAGGCCAGGGAUGAGUUGCACAGGAUGCUGAAUGAGGUAUCUUACUUUUUAGUAAAAUCUAUCUGUGUAUAACAUUCAUAGUCAUCAGACAAGAACUGAUGUUCAGGCCAGCCAAGAGGCCAGGAGCAUUAGUUAAUCUGUCAGUCACUCCAUUGAACUAUGGCAGUAUGAAGUAUUUAUCUUUUAGAAAGCAAAUAAUUGCCGAGACAGAAUUUUGAUUUGAAAAAUUGCACCUCAAAUACCAUUUGAGGUGCUUGUUGCUUUCUGAAAUAAUCUUUGAAUUAGUAAUUUCAAUUAACUUUUAAAUAUUAUUGUCAUUUUGGAAGGCAAUAUAGCUAGCUGGAAAGGCUUGUCUGGGAGAGGUUUGCUAUAACUGUUUGCUCUCUCAAAAUAGGUUACAGUAGCAAUUUUAUGGUUAGGGUCCAUCUUAAUUUUCUUGUUAGCAUGGUAGCACCUUAUGAAACAUGUUAUGUUGCAUGAUAUGCUGUUGAUGAAUAUUGGGGUAUAUUGGAUGAAGGAAUUAAAUUGAAGCAAGAGCAAAUGGCAUUUUUGCAGCAUCACUUAAGCAUGUUACUGGAUGGUAUUCUGUUGAGUCGUAUUGAUUUUUCUACAACGAAGUAAUGAAGGGGACAUGAAUUAUAACCAUUAGUAAUAAUAAUAAUGCUGGUUAAUUUAAUCUGGCCAAAAACAAGUGGCAGAUGCCUUAUGAUGUGCAUAUUGGGGUUUGUGCAUAGAUUGUAGUUUAGCUAAAAGAUGGCCAAGAGGAUUUGGCCAAUGAAAUCUUUGACCAGUCCAUGAUGUUGUGCUGGCUGCAUAAGCAGGUGCUAGACAGCAAUUUGUUUGUGUUAUUACUUGUUAAGAAGAGCAUGGAACUAGGAACGGCUUUUUGUGGCAUCAUUUACUUGCAAUACACUAUUUCUAAAGCUAUUUUUUUUUUUUGCAUGGCUGCCAUUUUUUUCAUGUCUUUGUUAGUGGGAGGAGGCAACAGAAACAUUUAUUUGACCAUUCCAGUUUUCAGUUACAUAUCGAAAACUUAAAAUAAAGUGGGAACCAAAAGAAUAAUGUUAAAUGAUUUCUGAUUUCAGGAUGAGCUCCGUGAGGCUGUGCUGCUUGUAUUUGCUAACAAACAAGAUCUCCCUAAUGCUAUGAAUGCUGCCGAGAUAACUGAUAAGCUUGGCCUCCACUCUCUCCGGCAGCGUCACUGGUAAAUUUUCUGGCUGUACUGCCAUCUAAUAGUUUAUUUUAUAGUCUCUAUCUUGUCUUAAAAGUCCUACUGCUAUCCGGUUUCUAAUUUUGCUUAUAUGGUCUUUCCAGGUACAUCCAGAGCACCUGUGCAACCUCUGGUGAAGGGCUUUACGAGGGAUUGGAUUGGCUCUCCAACAAUAUUGCUAACAAGGUAUGAAUUCAAAAAUUCUUUCCGUCCUAUAAACAAAGUUUUAGGGCCAGAAUAUGAGACUUCAAUUUGACCAUCUAAUUAUUGGACUCUUCCAUCAUUAAUUACUGUCCGCAACCUUUUGAUGCUCAAGUUCACUUAGAUUGAACCAACUAUCAGUGCUAUUUCCAAGAGAGAACUUUAUAAAGAUGAACCUUGAGGUGGUGACUUAUGUUUCUAUUAUUUUCUUCCCCCAUUCUCCUCAUGAUAUUUUCCCCUAUGGUUGCAGGCUUGAGGCAACUGUGGAGUCUGUUCCUGUGGAUGGGCGGUCCUGGAUGCAGGGGUGAAUAUUAUCUAGUCAUCUUCGUUUUUAUUCGUUUUUUUUUCCUUUCCUUUUUAUAUUUUUCCUUGAGACAGUUGGCUUGUGGUAAUGCUUUUUUCAUGAGGAAGCGUUUAUUUAGAACAACAUAUUUGUAAUAGAAGAAUGGUUGGUUGGAUAUACAUAUACUUAACAAGUUUUUGUGGGGGCUGUGGAUGUCACACUUGUAGCUGGUACCGAAACUAAUUUGGUGUACAUCCCAUUUUGAAAUGGAUUUUUAUAAUAUUAUAGGCGUUGUUUCGUUUAAUUCCAUAAUUUUCAAUUGUUGGCAUGAUAGAUGAGACAAUCCGCAGGUAUUCAUUGCAUGCAGUUAUUUCAAUGAUCUCUCAAAUGCAUGGGAUGGUUUUUUAUUUUAUUUUAUUUUGAGACUCCUUCAGUGUAUUGUAUACCUCGCCAAUGUUUAAUUUUUUUGGAAAUACCCUCUAUUGUCAAAUUCCUCCUCCAAUAUUCUAAGCAAUUCUACAUGCUUUUUCAAAAUUACAGAUAUAUUUGGACACUCAAAUUUGUGAAGCUGUUCAGAAAUCCUGCUUGUUAUUUAACCUAUUUUAUGAAUAUUUUACAAAACUAAGAAAUGUUGAAUUACCCUUUUUCUUAUGAUUGUUACUUUCUUUUAAUCUUCAUUUAAGGACAUGUUUGUUUAUAAAAUGAAUCUAAUUCCUAUAAGCAAUUGAUGGAAUACUGAAAAGUAGUCAACCCUGUAGAUGAGAAAAUGUUGAAAGGAUGAUUGGCAUGAAAUCAUAUUAUACCAAAACGGUUCUCAAAAGCAUGGACAUGUUUGAUUGAAAAACAAUUGUUUGUUCUCAAGCAAACAAUUUAUUUUAAAAUGCUUAAGCAUUUUGGGUAAUUGUUAUUGAAUUUUUUUGUUUAAAAAUAUGUUUGACAAAAUAAAUUUAAGAAUAUUUCUUCUAAAAAAAGGUUACAAAUUUUGUAGGAUUAUAUAAAUUGAUAAUAGUACAAAAAAUAAUAGAACAUUGAAUAAUUAUCCUUCCAGUUUUUCAAUAUUAGUUUGGUUGUUUAUUUUGUAAUUUUAUUAUUUUUUUCAAAUCUAAAAUUGGAUAAAUUUGUAAAUUGUACAAAAUAGAAUGUAGAAGAUUGAUUUCAAUUGGUGUGUGAGAUAUGAAGGGUAGAAGACCCUUUUAUGGACCUACAACAUUUCUCUAGUCAACCAAAUCAUUAAGAUAAACUUUUUGCUAUUAAUCAUGGUAUCAUUUUUCUCAUUACACUUUCAAACAAAUAAUACAUAUUGGUAUCCAAUGGGUUUUAAUAUCUUUAGGUGUAUGAAUUAUAAGUCCAAAUACUUCUUUUUUUAUUAACAAGUUUAACUCUAUAUGAAUGACUUUUUUCCAUUUUGACUAAUCAUUUUGUGUUGACAUUCUUCCAUUGUGAUUCAAGAUCCUCAUCAUUCUAUAUAAUGUCAAAGGCUACUUGGAAAACGAAAAUAUUAUUAAUAACAUUCUUUCAAUCCCAUUUUUCUCUGGUAUGUAUAUAGCUCAUAGAGAUUUUACUAGUUUUAGGUAUUUAUACCUUUUUAAGGGUUACUCAUUCAAUUUUUACAUUUUUAUGAGCUAGCCUCUCUAAGGACUAUCUAUUUCAUUUGUAUCUUUUCAGGAGCUAUAGGUUCAUCAAUUUUAGACUAAUCAUCAUUUUUGUGGCUUCUUCAAGAGUAUCAAGUGUUUAUUGUGUUUUUCUCUUUUAGGGAUUAAAACCUUUGAGCUUAACAAGUUUACCAUGUUUUAAGUGUGUCUUAAAUUCAUUUGUUAACUAUCAUAUAAGGAUAUCAAUCCUUGUAGGAGUAUUUGUAAUCGGGAUAUGUAACUUUGUUACUUUAUUUGUUCAAUGAAACCCUAGAAAAUCGGGAUAUGAGAAAACACUGAAACCCAAAUGUUUGACAACCCCAUCAAACCAUUUCAUAAUUACUUCCUAAACCUCUAAUGAUAAUUUCCCAUUGCCUUAAUCGAACACUAACUUAGCACUUCCACAACCACACUUCCAAAUAACUAUUUUUUUUAAAAAACAUUUGAAAAUUUUUGUAAACUUCCAUCAAUUCUCAAUAUUUUGAACUUGUAUACUUAAAAGCCUUAGUUUGAAGUUUUAAACUUGUUGAAUAUACUAUAAAAAUGUCUUUCCAUGAUUAUUGUUGAAUAAUAUUAACCCAAUAUCGACAAUUAUUUGAUCGUAAGCCAUAACACAACUUAACGUUAGUGGGUCAAAACCCUAAAAAUUCAAAUUGGUGUAAACAAGUAUUCCAAAUAAACCCUAGAAAGUGAAAUCACAUAAAAUAAGAUUUCUCGAAUUUAAAUGAAAAAAUUAUAAGUAUUUGACAUACGAUAAAAAUACGAUGAUGAAAAUGUCUUGAUGACACAACAUCAAUAAUAGAGACACCCCAAUGAUGAUGAGAAAAGAAAGGUUUAAGAGGGCAAUGAUGGGGAAACAAAAGUGCAAAAUAUGACUUUUACAACCAUGAAGACAACCUGAUGUUGAGGAGAAACAAAAGGCUUGGGUGGAGAAGGCACCAUGACGACAAAAGUGCAAAUAACUUUUUCCCUUUUUUUUUUUUUUCAAAAAGUUAUAAUUUUAUUAUAGUCAAAGAGUAAAUCUGCAUGAUAAAAAUAUAAGGUAAGAAUUAUCAAAUUAGGUAACCCUUUGGAUUCAUUUUCACCCUAAUCCACCUUAUUGGUAAUUCUCUCUUUUAAAAAUAAAAAGUAAACACAUGUGAUAUUUAGGAAUUUUUUCUAAAUUUUUAAUUCCAAAAAAAAAAUUGAAAACUAACAAUUUAAUAAAUUUUCAACAAAAUUAUUAAGAUAUAUGAUUGUUCAUUCAAUGAUGUAAUUAAGUGAUAAAAAAAUCAAUGAAAUAGGAUCCCAAAUUCCAGUUAAGGAUUUUUCAUACCCUUUAAGAACAAUCCAUUCAAAUUACGGAUUUCUAUUUAUUUUAUCAUUCAAUAAUUCAUAAUGAUAUUUUGAUUACUAAAUAUUUGCAACUUAAACUUUAGAAGUUUUUUUCUACUCAUCUAUACUUUAGAUUUACAUGGCAAUGCAACAUGUAAAUAUUUUUUGAAAAAUAUUUUUCUUUAUUUGAGUGUGAGAAGGUGACCAUUUUCAUUGGUGCCUAAAGUAAGAGAAAAAGACCCAAUAUUGGAAAAAAUAAAAUAAAAUCCUUGAACCACCUUUCUUAUAAUUGGAAAUUAGUUUUUAGGAAUCAUUUGCUAUCUUUUUUUUUUUUAAAUAAAAACUAAUACUAACUUUUUUAUAAGAUACAAAAAAUUUUAAUGACUUAUAUUUAAAAAAUAAUAGUUUUAAAAACUAUUUAAAAAAAUUAAAGUAUUAAAAAAAUUUUACUACCUUAAAUUUAAUUUUUUUUAAAAAUAAGGUAAGUCAUUAAUACUUUAUUUUUUAUAUCUUAUAUAUAUAUAUAUAUACUUAAUUUCUCUAUGUAUCUACUUUAUUUUCAUACCCAACCUAAAACAUAAAAUUUCUUAAUACAUUUAUCUAAGUAUUUUUUUAUAUAUUUAAAAGAUUUUUCUCAUUCUUCUCUUUCAUACCACAUAUUUCUAAGUUCAAAAAAGUGAAAAUAAUACGAAAGGUAAUUAAAAUUAUAUAUCUAAACUUUAAACAUUAUUAAAGAUGAUGGACUACUUAGAAAAAGGUAAUUUUUUUUUUCCUUUUUCCUUCUCCAAAUGAGAGAAUAGACACCCUCUGGUGGUGGUGGUUGUGAAGGAUGGUGGUAGCACUAUGAUUUGAACUUCGCAUAGAUGUGUGGGAGGCUCCCAUCCACGUGUCAAUCCAUGUGUCACUCCCUUCAGUACUGUUCGAAUAACUACUACAGUGUCCAGAGCCUUCCAUUUGGACCACACAGGCAUACGACAAAUGGCAUUAGACCCCUUAAGCAGACAAUGUCUUCCAAUCAGCCUUCAAGUCCCAUUUACUACAUGUAAUCAUUUCCAUUUGACAUAGAAGUGGCUGAUGGGACCUUCAAUAAUCCUUACGUCCAUGUCAAUGGAUUAUCACACAUUGCCCUAUACCUCCAGUAAGUUGAAAUGGCGGAUAAUUGCAUCAUAACACAACUUCUGAUGGCACCUACUAGCCGCCUAAAACUGUAAUAAUUGUCCUACCACGACAACCAUUAUUACUGAGAAAGUCAAAGUGUAUAUUCAGCACUACAACGACUUUCUCUUGAGCACGAUAAAAAACCCUCUUGAAACAUAACCCAGGUAUGCGCGCUUAAGCUGACCUAUUCAUUCUCUGUUGCUGGAUGGAAGUUCUGAGAGACACAACACAAGGAGGAUUUGAUCUUAGUUGACCUCGCGUCAACAAGAUGGGCAACUGAGGUGGGUAUGAGGAGGGUACUGUAGGGACCCCUCCUCCUGAGAACACGUGCCACACACCUCAUGGUGACACGUGGCACGCAUUAUCAUCCGGAUCACCCUCAUCUGGAUUUCCCUAAAAAUACACGUGGCGCGCUUCUCCUAUCCGAACUACCUUAAGGAGAAGCACACGACACUCAUAAGCAUGACAUCCGGACGACUUCCACAAAUGCAUCCGGACGACCAACAUAGGCCAUCCGGAUACGUUUGCCCAGGUCAUUGACUGAAGUAAGCAAGCCUUGCACGUUAUCACAACAGCCUGCCAUGGCCCACGUUCCGCCACCUGCAGAGUGAAAGGACAAGAUGAAGUGACAACAAGUCACCUCCUACGGUCACCUACCACGAUCUCUAUCAACCGCCCGUAGGGUGAUGAUGGCCCUGCCACCACCUAGUGUCAUCAUGACAAUACAAAAUAUCUCCCCACCAUUAAAGAGGGGAACAAAGCUUCUGAUACUAUAUAUACGAACUUUCACACGAAGAGGAAGGUAAGCUUGCUAUACCUAGUAAAAGGCCAACUGAUUUAUCUCUCUCUCUAACCAUGGCUGACAAAACCAUCGGAGAGUGCGUCCGAACACCCCGUCCGGACGCCUUUUGCAGGCAGAACGACUGAAUCAAGAAUCUAUAUUGGUUGAGAUCGUGCGUCUAUCCAUUUGGCAACUACGUGGAUCACCAGAGACGCGAGGCCUCAACAUUGGCGCCGUCUGUAGGAAACUUUUCACUGAUUCAGUCACCAGUAAAGAUGGCCACACUUUCCCGAAGCCGUUCAUCUGGUAGAGGAGAGGAAGAUAAUUCUGAAUGGCGCCAAGCCAUCGAAAGAAGACAGUUGGCAAGCGAACUACAACUGAAAGCUCUCCUCCAGGAGACAGAAAGAUUAAGAGAAGAAAACGCGAUACUACGCAUCCAGGCUUCAACAUCAGGGCCUCUUUGUCGUCAGCGUUCAAGAGGCCAAGUAGCAAAUUCAAGGCCAGAACCAGAAUCAAUAUAUCCUGGGACAACAGGAGUUAUCCCAGAAGCGUGCAACGUGAGGCCACACGAGCCACACACUCCCAUGCCUCGAGCUCUCCGUGAGGAAAGCUCAGACUCUACUCAUUUUUUAGCAAAAAGACAACGCGAUAGAAAAUUUUAGUUGUCAAAUUCAAUGCACGCAAGAGUAGGCCCACAAGAGCCUGGGAGACCAAGGCCUCCAAUAGCCACAACCGGGGGAACGCACCCCGACUCUAUGGUCAUCCCCGUGGUAUAGGAUGUGCUCCCACACCGUGACCCCAUGGUCACCCUCGUGGUGCGGAACGUUCACUCGCACCUAGCGGUACGACAAGAUGGGAGAAACCUCCCAAGCGAGCCACCAAUUGGUUCCAUCAGCAAAAGGUUGGACGACAUGCUCUCCACGCCUUUCUGCUCUCAAAUCAUUCAUUACGAGCCCCCAAGGGGAUUCCUCGUACCAAAAUUUUCCACAUACGAUGGGUCCAACGACCCCUUCGACCAUAUCAUGCAUUAUCGACAACUUAUGACGUUCGAUAUUGGCAACGACGCACUGCUGUGCAAAGUAUUUCCCGCCAGCCUACAAGGGCAGGCCCUCUCAUGGUUUCAUCGCCUACCGCCCAACUCUGUUGGCAAUUUCAGGGACCUGUCCAAAGCUUUCGUGGGACAAUACUUGUGUUCCGCCCGACACAAGCAGAACAUUAGCACUCUGCAAAACAUAAAAAUGCAAGAUAACGAAUCCUUAAGGGAGUUCGUGAAGCGAUUUGGUCAAGCCGUACUUCAGGUAGAGGCUUGCAGCAUGGAUGCUGUCCUGCAGAUAUUCAAGCGAAGCAUCUGUCCAGGCACCCCAUUUUUCGAAUUGCUAGCCAAAAAACCUCCUACAACGAUGGACGACUUGUUCAGACGUGCCAACAAAUAUUCGAUGUUCGAAGAUGACGCACGGGCAGCCAUCCAGCAAGUCUUGGUUGCCGGACAGGCAUCUAGAGGUGGCACGGAAAGAAAUGCUAAACCUCCGGACCGGUCAAGGCCGUCCGAUCGAAGGCAGGAAGGGCCAAGUCGCCCGGAAAGGCCGCCUCUCACACCUCUUUUCAUAUUGUAUGAGAAACUUCUCCCGAUGAUCCAGGGUUUGUCCGACUUCAAGUGGCCUAGACCCAUCGGAACAGACCCAUCUACAAGAGAUCAUAGCAAGAGAUGUGCCUUCCACAAAGACCAUGGUCACACGACAGAGACAUGCAGGUGCCUCCAGUAUCUGGUUGAGAGGCUCAUCAAAGCAGGACAUUUAAAGCAGUACCUCCGCACAGAUGCUGAGGGUAGGGGCGCUUCCCAACGUCACAACUCUGGAGCCCCCAGGGCCCCAGCCGUCCCCAAGGACGUUAUAAACUAUAUUAACGGAGGCCCAUCUGACGAGGAGUAUGACUCUAGGCGAAAAAGGCAGAAAUUGUUGCGAGUCGCAUCAAUACGCGAACGCAUCAAUUCCAUCCGGCUUGGACUAACUGGAGGGGGCCCUCGCCUCAUAGAUGGGACAAUCAUUUUCCCACCAAUAGAUCCCACCCGGACACUACAGCCACAUCGCGACGCACUCAUCCUGUCCCUAGAGAUAGGAGACUUCGAUGUGAGACGCAUCCUGGUUGACCCAGGCAGCUCGACCGAUCUUGUGCAAGCAUCGGUCCUUGGCCGCAUGGGACACAGUCUCACAGGCCUCGAAAACCCAGGACGAAUCCUGUCCGGAUUCAACGGGUCGUCAACAACGUCCUUGGGAGACAUUAUACUAACGGUCCAAGCUGGCCCAGUCACUCUCAACGUACAAUUUUCGGUGGUACAAGAUUUGUCGCCCUUCAAUGUCAUCUUGGGGUGCACAUGGCUACACUACAUGAAAGUCAUCCCCUCCACAUAUCAUCAAAUGGUAAGUUUCCUUACCAAGGAUGGGCAAGUUAAUCUAUAUGGCAGCCAGUUAGCCGCUCGCCAAUGCUACCAAAUAGCACGAGAAACAGGAACCAGCCAGGAGGAUGCAUCUCUCCCUGAGUCCAACAAUCCGCAUGACCAAUAGCAAUUAUUGGGUCAGGUGGACAAAGAUCCCCCGGCAGCAGACCCCUUGCAAACAAUCCAAAUCUCGGAAGAAGGAACUCACCUUACGAAUAUCAGUUCCCUCCUCGCACCAGAAGAAACCCAGAAAAUGCAGAGCGCCCUCAGACAAAACUAUGACAUCUUCGCAUGGGCACAUUCUGAUAUGAAGGGAAUUGAUCCCUCAAUUACCGCCCAUAAACUCAACGUCUUGCCAAUAGCCAGACCCAUCCGGCAGAAGAUUAGACGUUUCCACCCGGACAGACAAAAAAUCAUCCGGAUUGAGAUGGACAAAUUGCUAGAAGCCGGAUUCAUCAGAGAAGUACAUUAUCUGGACUGGUUGGCAAACGUAGUGGUGGUACCCAAAAAAGAAGGAAAAUGGCAGGUGUGCAUCGAUUACACCAAUCUCAAUAAUGCGUGUCCAAAAUACAGUUUCCCUUUGCCACGAAUAGACCAAAUCGUGGAUUCUACUGCUGGGCAAUGGAUGCUCUUUUUCUUGGAUGUCUUCUCCGGAUAUCAUCAGAUCCCCAUGUCCCCGACUAACGAGGAAAAAACAGCAUUCAUAACGCCACAUGACCUUUAUUGCUACAAAGUCAUGUCAUUCGGGCUCAAAAACGCUGACACCACUUAUCAAAGACUGAUGACAAAAAUCUUCAAACCUCUGAUAGGCCACACGGUAGAGGUAUACAUUGAUGAUAUCGUGGUUAAAAGCAAAACCCGAGACGAGCAUGUUCUUCACUUACAAGAAGUUUUUCACCUCUUGAGGAAAUAUGGCAUGAAGUUGAAUCCUUCUAAAUGCGCCUUCGGCAUAAGCGCUGACAAAUUCUUGGGGUUUAUGGUCAGCUAAAGGGGCAUAGAGGUCAGUCCGGAUCAAGUCAAAGCAAUCAUAGAAACACCACCACCUAGGAACAAGAAGGAGUUACAACGCCUCACAGGCAAACUCGUUGCGCUAGGGCGUUUUCUAGCCCGCUUCACUGAUGAAUUGCGACCCUUCUUCUUGGCAAUACGAAAAGCUGGAACAAAUGGAUGGACGGACAACUGUCAAAACACUUUUGAAAAGAUUAAGCAUUGUCUUAUGCAGCCGCCCAUCCUGAGUAGCCCCAUCCCAAAAGAAAAAUUAUACAUGUAUCUGGCUGUAUCGGAGUGGGCAAUCAGUGCUGUUUUAUUCCGCUGUCCCUCACCCAAGGAGCAGAAACCUAUCUACUACGACAGCAGAGCAUUGGCGGAUGUAGAAACCAGGUAUUCAAAAAUGGAGCUAACAGCUUUAGCCCUUCGAAGCGCUGUCCAAAAGUUCUGCCCCUAUUUCCAAGCCCACCCAGUGGUCGUGCUGACCGACCAACCCUUUCGUAACAUUCUGCACAAACCAGACUUAACCGGAAGAAUGCUGCAAUGGGCUAUCGAAUUGAGCGAGUUUGGAAUCAAAUUCCAACCCAGAUUGUCCAUGAAAGGCCAAGUAAUGGCUGACUUCGUGCUGGAAUAUUCUCGAAAGCCUAGCCAACACCAGGAAUCAAGUGAAAAAGAAUGGUGGACUUUGCGAGUCGAUGGAGCCUCACGAUCAUCCAGGUCCGGAGUAGGGCUUCUGCUACAGUCUCCAACAGGGGAAAACCUAGAGCAAGCCAUCCGGCUGGGAUUCCCUGCCUCCAACAAUGAAGCAGAAUAUGAGGCCAUCUUAUCCGGAUUGGACCUCGCUUUGGCUCUAUCCGUCUCCAAGCUCCGGGUUUAUAGCGAUUCGCAACUCGUAGUAAGACACGUCCAGAAGGAAUACAAAGCCAAAGAUGCGCGCAUGGCACGAUACCUGACAAAAGUAAGGGACACCUUACAACGAUUCACCGAGUAGACAAUCGAAAAAAUCAGAAAAACUGAAAAUGGACGUGCCGACGCCCUGGCAGGCAUCGCCGCCUCCCUCCCCAUCAAAGAAGCCAUAUUGUUGCCUAUUCAUGUGCAAACUAACCCUUCUGUAACAGAAACCUCCACUUGCAACACUAUCGAGACAAGCCAAGCGGACAACCAAGAAUGGACAAACAACAUCACAAAAUACCUCCGGACAGGCACUCUGCCCGGAGAACCCAAACAAGCACACAAGGUCCAGGUACAAGCUGCUUGUUUCACCCUAAUAGGGGGGCACUUGUACAAGCGAUCCUUCACAGGACCCUACCUUUGGUGUCUAAGUCAUUCAGAGUCCCAGUAUGUGUUAGCAGAGUUACACGAGGGGGUAUGUGGAAAUCAUUCAGGAGGACGCUCUCUGGCACAUAGGGCCCAUUCGCAAGGGUAUUAUUGGCCCACGAUGAAGAAGGAUGCGGCAGCAUAUGUAAAAAAAUGUGAUAAAUGUCAAAGACAUGCUCCCAUUCCACAUAUACCAUCAGAAACAUUGAAACCAGUAUCAAGCCCAUGGCCCUUCGCGCAGUGGGGCAUGGACAUAGUGGAACCCCUCCCAGCCGCACCUGCCUAAAAGAAAUUUCUGCUCGUCGCCACAGAUUACUUUAGUAAAUGGGUGGAAGCUGAAGCAUAUGCAAGCAUCAAAGACAAAGAUGUCACCAAGUUCGUAUGGAAAAACAGCGUCUGUCGUUUUGGAAUUCCACACACCAUUAUAACCGACAACGGUCCACAAUUUGAUAGCAUCGCAUUCCGGAAUUUCUGUUCGGAACUGAACAUCCGGAAUUUCUGUUCGGAACUGAACAUCCGGAAUUCAUACUCCACACCGCGUUAUCCUCAAAGUAACGGGCAAGCAGAAGCCACAAACAAAACGCUAAUCACUGCCUUAAAGAAAAGGCUCGAGUAAGCCAAAGGAAAAUGGGUGGAGGAGUUAUCCGGCGUUCUGUGGGCCUAUCGAACCACACCCGGGCGGCCAACAGGAAAUACUCCCUUCGCCCUCGCAUACGAUAUGAACGCAAUCAUUCCUACCGAAAUAGGGUUACCCACUAUCAGGACCGAGGCAGCAAAGCAGGAUGAUGCAAACGCGGAGUUAGAAAGAAACUUGGAUUGGGCAGAUAAAGUAAGGGAAAGCGCAACCAUUCGGAUGGUAGACUAUCAGCAAAGGGCAUCCGCUCAUUACAAUCGCAAAGUAAGACCCAGAAGCUUCAAAAAUGGUACGCUGGUCCUUAGAAAAGUUUUUGAAAAUACUGCUGAAACAAGAGUAGGGAAAUUUCAAGCCAACUGGGAAGGACCCUAUAUAGUAUCUAAGUCAAGUGAAAGUGGAGCUUAUCAUCUACAAAAGCUAGACGGAACUCCAUUACUCAGACCAUGGAAUGUGUUCAAUUUAAAGCAAUAUUAUCAGUGAAAGACAAAAGACAAGCACAAAUGAGAAUAAAUAAUAUUUUAUUAAUAUUUGCAAAGGUGUAUACAAAGAGGUCUCCGGACUACACAAAAUACAAAAAAAAGAUAGCAGCAAAACAAAUUACAAAAAGAAAAGCUAUCAGGGAGCAAGCUUGUCAAGUAGCUUCUUCUCUUCACCCGGAGGAAUUGAAGGGACAUCCCGCUUAAUGCCAUGUUUCUUCAUACAGCAGCGAUAGCCGAAGAAAAACAUAUCAUCAACUUGCUUCUGGUAGUCCGCUUCAAGCUCCUCCCUCUCUGCAGCAAACUCACCCUCUAACUCUUCUUUUUGCGCUGAUAAGCGCAGCUGCAAAUCUUCCUUCUGCUUCUUCUCAAUGGACACCUCCGUCCGGAGUUGCCUCACCUCCCCCCUCAAGAGAGCCACCUCAUCCUCCGCCUCAUGCAAGCGGGCAUCCAUCGUCUCCUCCCGGCUCCUUGCCUCAGCUAAAUCUGCCCGGAGAGCCUCGCUGUACCCCCGAGCAGUGGAUAAACUGGCUUCGGCUUCUUCCAGUCUCAAGCGCAGCUGAUUUUCACUGUUUUUGCGCUGAGAAGCGAAAGCCUUCAUGUAAUCAGAGGUCCGCAGUAGGUCAGUAAAUAGAUCAUGUUGUUGGGUCAUGCCGCGAAGACCACUCACCAGCUACAAACAAACACACAAGCAAGAAAAGCGAAAUUACAAACCAUACCACAAACAUAUCAGCAUGACAAAGAAAAUCAAGAAGUACACUAUACCGUUUCCACCACUUCGAACAUCCUUGCUGAAGGCAUGACAACGGUCGAGCCGGAUGGAAUCUGUUUCAACUUCUCUUCCAACUCUGCAUAGCUAAAAGAGCCAACAGAAAUGCAAGCCGCAUCAUCAACAAGACUCCCCCCUAAUGAGGCGUUGGAGGGUGACUCCUCCUCCAAGUCCGGGGCCCCCUCAUUUUCAGCCGGCUGGGUCUCUCCGGGCGUACCCUCAUCCGGGACCACCACUGGGACGGCUGGGGUCUCAGUUUCCAUCUCCGUCUCGCUCCCCUCCGGAUGGUCAUCCUGGACGGACGAGCAACUGACUUCGAUGGUUUCCUAGAAUCGAUCUUGAAGCCGCCCGAUGAGGCCAAACUUUAGGUUGCGCGCCGAACUCGACCUCCUUGAAGCUGGUCCCUUCAUCGAUACGAGGGCAAGAAGGCUUGACCCGCCUGAAGGAAGAUUCUGGUUUUCUGCCCCCAUUUCCUCCAUUGGGGUCGCCAUAAGAGGCGAUACUUCCGCACAUACGACCUCGGCUGCAUCCGCAUCCGGAUGGGGAGAGCCGGGUGUAUUUAUUGACGCAGCUUCUUCGACCAAAAGAGCCAAGCGGGCAGCUGCUGACAAGGAGGGCCCCGAGUGGUUCAAACCCGCGACAUGUCCGGGACCACUUGAAAUAGAAGGCGGAAGAGGAUUUUCCGGCUCCUUUAUUGUUACCUCAUUCUCAUAAGUAAUAGGAGGGCGUACAAACUCCUUCGGAGGAGUGGAGAGUUUCACUUCCUUCCCCUUAUUUGAAGUCUUCUUUUUCUUCUUUGUUGGAGCGCCAGCAGGAGGAGAGGACACAGACCGUUUUUUCCCAGGAGCCUUCCGCAAGGUUCCCUCCUUUUUUCUCCUCUCCCGAUCGAUAAGGAGUGCUCGGCGUUUCUCAGCGUCCGCCUGUUGCACCUCCUUGUAGAAAGGAAGGUCUUUUAGAAUGUAAUGCUCCCCAGACACUACCUUCUUUGGUAGCUUCUUAGGGAGAAUAUUGAUGAUAUACUCACAGGGCUCCCGGACAACAGCCAUAAGGUUCCGCGCAGUGAGCAGCGUCACAUACUGCCUCUCGGCGGCAGUAAUCUCGAACAACUUGUUCAAUCGAACAAACGACGCUUUUUCUACCCACUCAACUACGUGGCCCCUCCUGUCCGAACCUGCAUUAUCAACAAACCAAAGAUAAAUAUGCCAUCUGAUAAAACCAGCAAGAAGGACAACAAGAUAAAUGCCGGACAAACACCCGUAAGCUGACUUACCCGGAAGCACCAAUGAGUAGUUUGGAGAAAAAUGCUUCUCCGAAUGCUCCAAUAGCCCCGCCCAAGCACCCCGGACCACCACAUACCCCUUCGCCCCUCCUUUCAUCGAAUCCGGCAGCUCAGUCACCAAUUGAAGAGAGGGCAGAUGGGCAGCCAUACUGAAGAUAUCAUUUUUUCCCUUCUUCAGGGAGUAAACAAAAAGAACCUCCAGCAACGAGAGGUCAAGGUUGAACAACAUGUUUAGAAUGCUGCAUCCCAUCAGCACCAGAACUAUAUUGGGGUAGAUGAAGGCUGGUGGGAUCUAGGUAAAGUGAAGGAAUUCCUUGAACAGCGCCGGGAGAGGGAACCGGAGCCUGGCAUUGAAUUGAUCCUUUGAGAAGGUGAUGGCACGGCCUUCAGCUUUCUCAGUAGACACGACCUCCUCCUCGUCCAUAAAUUCCACAAGCACGCCAUUUGGGAUACAGAAACGUUCUCGGAACUCCUUUACACUCAGUUUAUCUACAGAUUUCUCAGGAGCAUCACCGGCCGGGCCAGACGAAGCAGCUUCCUGGUUCGCAGACAUUUUUUAGCUUUUCAAAAACUGCAUGAAAGAGGUACCAACAGUCAAAACACCCUCAACAAAACCCUAGAAACCAAAAAACACCAACAUUCACACACACAGUCGCAAGCAACUUGACCAAACAAAGUCAAAAGCAAACCAACAAAACCAAAGCGCAGCAAGGAAAAGACAAAAGCAAAAUAUAUGUACCAAGUGUAAAAAUGGAAGAAAAGGGUUGCAAACCACAAGGCAGUCACCGUCGAAACGCAAAAAUCGCCGUCAGAAAAUUCUAGGGCUUCACUCAGGAACAAAGGUACGCAGAAGGUAGAAGAAGAAACACUCUCAGAAAAAAACACAGUAGGAAAGAUGCAACAGAAGGCACAGUAUGCUAUUUAUAGGGCGACAGCCCCUCGGAAAACCAAACGCACAGCUACGCCAUCAUUGAAACGACAUGCUGCCUGGGAAUACACAGAGAUGGCGGCUCAUCAUAAAUACUAUCCUCUCUCUUUUCGCCCCCGCUCGCCACGUGGCCCAAUAGGCGCAAAAAGUAACCACAAUUUCAAAAACCAAUUAUUUUUUUAACCCGCCCAUUUUUGCUCAGGCAAAAUAGGCAAGUUAAAAAGGGGGGCAUUGUAGGGACCCCUCCUCCUAAGAACACGUGCCACACACCUCAUGGUGACACGUGGCACGCAUUAUCAUCCGGAUCACCCUCAUCCGGAUUUCCCUAAAAAUACACGUGGCGCGCUUCUCCUAUCCGGACUACCUCAAGGAGAAGCACACGACACUCAUAAGCAUGACAUCCGGACGACUUCCACAAAUGCAUCCGGACGACCAACAUAGGCCAUCCGGAUACAUUUGCCUAGGUCAUUGACUGAAGUAAGCAAGCCUUGCACGUUAUCACAACAGUGUUCCAUGGCCCACGUUCCGCCACCUGCAGAGUGAAAGGACAAGAUGAAUUGACAACAAGUCACCUCCUACGAUCACCUAUCACGAUUUCUGUCAGCCGCCCGUAGGGUGAUGAUGGCCCUGCCACCAUCUAGUGUCAUCAUGACAAUACAAAAUAUCUCCCCACCAUUAAAGAGGGGAACAAAGCUUCUGAUACUAUAUAUACGAACCUUCACACGAAGAGGAAGGUAAGCUUGCUAUACCUAGUAAAAGGCCAACUGAUUUAUCUCUCUCUCUAACCAUGGCUGACAAAACCAUCGGAAGGUGUGUCCGGACACCCCGUCCGGACGCCUUUUGCAGGCAGAACGACUGAAUCAAGAAUCUAUAUUGGUUGAGAUCGUGCGUCUAUCCAUUUGGCAACUACGUGGAUCACCAGGGACGCGAGGCCUCAACAGGUACCAUUGUGAAUUAUGUUUAAUGAGAAAAUAUGUGGGAAAAAGAGAGAGAAAGAGAGAGAGUGGAGAGGAGUGAGCCAAACUAAGGUGAUAAGAAGAAAAAAGGGAGAAAGAUAUCUUAGAAAAGGAAGAAUAAUAAGCCCAAAAGGAAGUAGGAUUGAGGGUGAGGAGUGAAAAAGGUUUUAAAAAAAGACAAGAAAAAAGAAUAAAAAAAUAACUAUAUUUAAAAAUGGAUAUAAAUUUAUUAAUUUAAAAUUUAUGAAAAUUAUUUAAAAAAAUGUAUAUAAUCUUUUUUUAUCUAAAAGUUAUUUAUAUUUAUAAUAUUUGAGUAUGUUUAAUAUUAUUUUCACUUAAAGUGCUUUUAUAAGAUGUGUUUUUUAAAAUAUUAUAAAACGAGCUCAAAAUUGAUAAAAGAAAAUACAACCUUUUUUUUAAAUUGCUUUAUAAAACUGUGUAAUACUAAUUCAUCUAAACAAUUUUUUUUGUUUAUAAAAAUAAAAAAAUUGUUUUUUAUAAUUCAGUUUUUAAAUGUAAUUUAACUUCCGAAAAAUAUAUAAAAAAAUGUUAUUAAAAAAGUAUCAGUUCCCAAAAGCACUUCCCAAACAUAAAUUGUAAUUAAGCCCUUGGCGUGGUUGCGCAAAGUAUCUUCCUAACAUGGGCAAAAUCACAUUUGUAAGGCUCCGAUAGGCGAUAGCAUUGGACAUUUGUCAUCCACACACAAAGCAUAAGCCCCAAACCGCCUCUCUCAAGUCUCAAGUCGGCAGAAGGGUGUUUUACUGUUUUUCUAUUUAUCUAUUUAAAGAGAAAAAAGAGAUAACAGAGGGUAUCAAUCCAUUAAUCAAAUCAAAAGGAUUGAGAGCUGCAAAAAUGCUUAGGAGCGGCUGCAGCAGGAUUCUAGGGUUAGGGCAACAGGGCAAGCAGGCUCAAUCGCAGGCCCUUCUUCGUUUCUAUCAUGAGAGGGUGGUGGACCAUUACAAUAACCCCCGCAACGUGGGAUCCUUCGACAAGAACGAUCCAGACGUCGGCACUGGCCUCGUUGGCGCUCCAGCUUGCGGUGAUGUCAUGAAGCUUCAAAUCAAGGUCGAUGAUCAAACCGGAAAGAUCGUCGAUGCUUGCUUCAAGACCUUUGGUUGUGGAUCCGCCAUCGCCUCUUCCUCUGUUGGUCCGUAUUUAUUUAUUUAUUUUUCUUUUUUCUUACGUGAAAUCAAAAUGAAAUAAAGGAAAUUGGGAUUUUCUGAAUUAUACAACCGGUUCCCUUAAUUUGAGUGCCGGAAAUGUUUUUUUUUGUUUUUCUCCGUUUCUGUGUCCAUCCAAGUGGGGUUGUUUUGUUAUUUAUUUUGUUGUAUGUUCCUCAUUUCAUUUUUUUUAAUACGUUAAAUUUUCCCCCUUAUCUUUGCUUGAAUUGAUUGAUUAGGUUUUUGUUUGAUCGGGCUAUAUAUAUAAUUAGCACAUCUGUAAUGUUGAUUUGUAAUUUGCUCUUAUUAUUACAUGGAUAUCCAUUUUAAAAGCCAGGAGAUUCUUCUUUGGGAAAUGUACUGAUUUUUGUUUUUGGGUCUCACUUCCAGCCACGGAAUGGGUGAAAGGCAAGCAAACGGAGGAAGUUCUAUCCAUAAAAAAUACGUGAGUUUUUAUCUCUAUCCUUCAUCCUUUAUUUUGUGUUAUGCCGAAAUCGUUGCUUUGUUUAUGUGCAUUUGAGUAGCCAUGAUCUGUAGGUUUAUGUGGAUGUUCUGCCAGUAGACUUUCUUUCUAAAUUCAUGGAAGCAGAGAUUCACAAGCUAUACUCAACAUGGAAAAAGGCCUAGACCUAGAUUCAACUAUAUGUUGCUCACCUAGCCGUUGACAUAAUCCUUGGCAAUCAUUUUUUUCUUCACCAUCUUGAUGAACCUUCUGUUACAACCUCUCUUUAUCUUGUCCUCAAUUGAAUCCACACCAAACUUCCUAUGAUUGCAUUUUCUAUCCCUUCUUACAUUGUUGCUCACCAUCUUAACAUCUACAUCUACAAAUUUAGGGAACAGGGAGGUGAGCAUUUCCACAUUGCUCAAUAGGGUUCCUUGCAUUUCAGGGGUAUAAAAAAUAAAUAAUCAUACCUAAAGAAAUAAAAUGAAAUAACCUAAGCAUGCAUAAAUAAAUAUUUCAGUUUCAAUUUAACAUAUAACAUAUAUAUUAUUGCUAAAAAUGCAAAUGAAAAUGAACACAUGCACUCACACAAUGCACCAUAAUUCUCAAGCUUUCACCAAAUUGUAUGUCUAUAUCCAAAUACACUCCUCACUCAGUCUUCUUGAGGUAAAUUUUUGUGUCUUUCACACCAAAGAUCCCCCUCUUCUUAAUUCACCCUCUAUAGGAUCUUUUCAUUUUCUCAAUUUCUUUUCUUUUCAUUUCCGAUUCACACAAUAUAAUAUUUUACGUUCAACAUUGAAAUCUCAACAAUCAAUUCUACAAUGCCAAUUUAUUUUAUUCACAACAAUUCUAACUCAACAAGUUAUUCCAUAAAAUAGAAUGUUUAUGAACAAAAUCCCAAGACGCUUAUUCUGAAAAUUAGUCUUUGCAACAACUAUAAAAUCACAUUGAUAAAAUCUAAAACAAAACCAACUUAUAUCUUAAAUGGAAGAAUAAGGAGUACAAGAUAAAGGCAAAAAAUAGAAGUUCCCAUAAAACCACCAACACUUCAAGCACAAGCCACUUUACCAAACCCGAAUAUUGGAUAAUUAGUUUCAAAAACAAAGUUCACCGCUAUGUUCCUUGUGUUGAGAUAAGUAUUCUCUCAAAAUUUCACAAGAACCCAAGCAGGAUACACUUUCAAAGUUGUUAGUCUUUCACUUUGAGAAACCCACAUGAUCUUAGCAGCUUAUGCUUUUAUUUAUUUUUUCAAAACCACUUUGCAAAGGAGGAGAUUAUCUCUCUUUGUUGUCUUUCAAAGUUGUUGUCUUUCACUUUGAGAAACCCAUGUGAGCUUAGCAACUUAUGCUCUUAUUUUAUUUUUUCAAAACCACUUUGCAAAGGAGGAGGAGACUAUCUCUCUUUGCCCUCCUCUCUCUCUCUCUCUUCCAAUUAGGUGCAUGUGCCACUCUUAUGCCCAUUACUUCUCUUACUCCAACGAAAAAAAGAACUAAUAUCAUUCAUGAAUGAAUUCAUUAAUCCCACAUGCAAAGUCUCAAUGCCUUAUAUAUUUAAUCUAAAAUUGUGAUGGGGGACUACAUACAUUCCCAAAAGCUUAAGCUAAUGAGGGGUAGAGGUAGCCCCAAAUAUUAGGCCCAACUAACAUUGGUAAUCAGUCAAUGUGGGACAAUGGACUUUUGUUCGUCCUAUGCCAAGUUCCCACCAUUCCCUCCAACCACUUUAAUCUAUACCCUCCAUUUAUAUGCUUCAACAUUACGUACAAAAUCAAAUCCCCAUAAUUUAAUCUCUACUCAUGUAUCAUAUAACUAAUCAGCUUUUAUAAUUUUUCUCAAACUUAAGCUCCACUAUAUCAUUCUCCAAUAACUUCCUUCCACGAUAUCAUCCCACCAUGUGUCCGAUCAAGAUUUUUAGUAUCAAUUCCACAAUUAUAAUCACCUAAGCAAUAUGAAAAUUAGCUAUGAAUUAAGCAUGAAGCACCCAAGUUCAAUUCUUCACAAUUCAAAUCUUAAUUGUUUAAUAUGAUCCCAAUUUAACUUCAGUUAAAUCUCAAUCUUACUUUAGAUGAACGAUAUUGAGUUGAUUAAAUCUCAACUUCAGUAUCCUUGAUUCAUGUGAUGUAACUAAAUUCUCAAGCAAUCGAUUGUAUCAUAAUGACAUGUUGCAAAUUCAACCCAAAUUAGUUGACGAAAAAUCUAGCAAAUCACCCAAUCUGAAGUGGACACAUGUACUCUCACUAUAGUUUUCUCACUCAUUCAAUUGACAGUAAAAUUUUUCAGAUAAUGCAUUAUUCAGAUAUUACAACUAAACCUUCCAAUCAAAGAAUCCUCACCUAGGGUUAUGUAUAUGCAUAUUAUUGAAUUAUUUGUUAUAAGAGGUUACUAGGAGUCGGGGAUGGUUACUAGGAGUCUCUUGCAGGAGUCAAGUCUAAUGAUUUAACCCCCACUUGGAAAGGGUAAGAAAUAGGUAUUCAUUGAUGUACUGUUCCUGUCUUUAGUUUAGGUUUAUUAUGGUAGUUAUAAGUUCUGUAUCUUUAUCAGUUAAUUUGGUAUCAUUUAUUAAUUGCAGAUUUUAAAUUCUUUACUUACUAAAUAGUUUGAUUCAUUUCAGUUGUAAAAUUUUUUAUGAUACCUGACAACUGUUUACUUCAAGAAAUUUGAUAUUUAAAUUUUUCACCCACUAAAAUUCAUUGCUUCUCUUUUGUACUUGAUCUUCAAUUUUUAAACACCUACUAGAUAAUGCUUGGGAACUUCAGUUUCUUGUCAUUUAAAUAGUCCAUGGAAACAAGGUUAUGGGUUUUAGGGUUGUUGUUUUUUAAACCAUAGCAACAUAAUUUUUUUUGCUUUCUCAUAAUCAUGCACACAAGAAUUUCUUUAGUAUGAACAGAGAUGAUCAUCUGGUCUAUGGUGAAAGAACACCAUCACAAGUUUUAGAAGGUGGUGUAAAAUAGUUGUUGAGAGGAAUUUAUAUUGAUGGUUGUUAAUUAGGAAACAUAUGUGUGCUAGUUAACUUUGAAGAGGAGGUACUUCUGUUAGUUGAUCAUCAUUAGUGUUUAGUUAAAGGUGGAAGAGAAAAAAAGGAACAGAAAGCUAAUCUCCUUUUUUUGAUAGGUAAGGGAAUGUAUAUUAAAAUUAGAGAAAGUAGCCAAGUACACCAGCGUACACAGGAUGUAUACAAUGAGCACCUUAGGCAAGCCCUCCAAAAAGAGCAUUAAAAAAAAAAACCACUCUAUUCCUCAACAAGACCCCACCCACUCUACAAAUCAAACUAGGUCAUUGAGUCUUCCCUUAAAUACAUGCUAACCCAAGAAGAGGGAUUACAAAAAAAUGAAAGUUUUAAUCAUUGGUCAUUGUGUUCCUUAUCUUCAAAAGCUCUUUGAUUUUGUUCCCUCAAGAUUGUUUGAAAAAUGCAAAGUGGAGUAGCGUUCCACACCUUUUUCCUUUUGUUCCCAAGAAAGGAGCCUUGCCAACUUAAGAACAGAACCCUCACUAAAGAAAGGAUCAUCCACGCCACCCUAAAUAAGGAAAACAAACUUUAAAGGAAUGAAGAAGCAAUUGAUUAAUAGACUCCCCCUCAUGCUUACACAGAUAACAUAUAUUUACCAAGGGUUGCCCUCUCUUUUGGAGAUUAUCUAAAGUUAGCAUUCUUCCUUAACUAGCUUCCCAUGCAAAAAAGCUGACUUCGGGUGGUACCAACAGAUUCCAAAUAAUGUUCUUUGGAAAGAUGAUCACCCUCCCCACAUCCAAAACCUCAUAGAAAGAUUUGAUAGAAAACAAUCCCCUCUUAUCGUCUUUCCAUACCACCUUGUCAUUAUCGCCCUUCCUGACCAAAUUCCCUGUCAACCUGGAGAAAAAAGUCUCAAUGAUGUCCAGCUCCCAAUUAUUAAAGUGCCUAGUAAAGCGUAGGGUCCAAUGCCCCAUUCCUCCUGUGUCAUCCCAAUAAUAUGCCACCCAAGCCUCCUUGGAGGCCACCAAAGUAUACAAAAAAGGGAAAGACAAGCACAAGGGCUCCUCCCCACUCCAUUUAUAUCUGUCAAGAACUUUACCCUUCUUCCAUUACCCACUUCAAAGGAGGUUUUACUGAAGAAAAGAUCCCACCCCUUCCUAAUAGCUCUCUAAACACCAACCCCAUACCCACCUCUAACUUCACAAGAAUGCCAACCCACUCCUUCUUUCCCAUAUUUCCUCUCAAUAAUUUGCUUCCACAAAACAUUCCCAUUAGAGACAUAUCUCCAACACCACUUACCAAGAAGGGCCCAAUUCAAGAGAGAGACUUAUAAUUUCCAGCCCCUUCCCCCCCACCCCACCCACCCACACACACACACACACAUUUUUCUCUUCUUUGUGCAAAUAAUCAACCAACUAACAAAAUGAGGCUUUCUCCAAAGCCCCACCUCCCCAGAGAAAGUCCCUUUAAAUCUUCCUUAAUUUCAAUCUAACCCUUCUAGGGAUGACAAACAAAGACAUAAUAUUGGCAAAUUCGAUAAAGUACUUCUAAUCAAAGUAAAUCUCCCCCCUUUAGAAAUGUAUUGUCUUUUCCAUAACGACAAUUUUCUGCGAAACUUUUCUUCCACAACAUCCCAUACUGUUUCAGAUCUACAAGAGGCUCCUAAAGGUAAUCAUAAGUGGAAGGGAGUUUCCUACUUAUAUAUAAAAAAAAAAAAAAGUGAAGGGAGUUUCCCCACCUUGUAGCCCAAUUCUGUAGCUAGACUUUCUACAUUUGUAACCCUUCCAAUUGGAAUCAAUUCGCUUUUAUCCAGAUUGAUUUGGAGUUUGAUAAUGCCUCAAACCACAUGAGCAACCAAUUCAAAUACCUACUGCUAGGAAUCCUCACAGAAGACCAAAGUAUUGUUUGCAAAUAAGAAAUGGGGCACCACCACCCCUUCUCUCCCUUCACAACUCUCUCACCUUGAAACUAGACAAGUAGCCCCCCUCUUGGGCUCUCUCCAACAAGCAGCUCAAAACCUCUAUAGCAGAAACAAAUAGACAAAAGGGAUAGAGGAUCCCCUUGUCUCAACCCCUUCGAACUCUGAAAGAAACAAGGAGUUCCAUUAACCAACACUGAAAACCUUCUUGUGGAAAUGCACCAUUGAAUCCAUCUAAUCCAUUUAUGGUUAAAAUCCAUUUUUUCCACAACUACAAACAUAAAAGCCCAAUUGACAUCAUGACCGUAUGCUUUUUCUAUGUCCAACUUGCAAAUGACACCACUGGAGCCAACCUUCAAGCUUGAAUUAGUUGCUUCCUUCGCUACAAGGGAUGCAUCUAAAAUCUGUCUCCCCUUUACAAAGGUGUUUUGAAACUUAGAAACCACUUUUUCCAUCACUUUCUUUAAUCUACUUGUUAACACUUUCACCAAAAGUUUAUAAAGACUUCCCCUCAAAUUUAUAGAUCUAAAAUCUUUCAAAUACUCUACACCCUACUUCUUUGGGAUUAAAGCUAAAAAUGUAGCAUUUAAACUUCUUUCAAACUUGUCAUUGGCAAAAAAAUCCGAAAAGAACCCCAUUGGCUCAUCCUUAACGAAAUCCUAACUAAAUUGCCAAAAGGUCAUAGUGUAGCCAUUAGGGCUAGGAGCUUUAUCCCCACUUAAAUCAGAUAAGGCAACACUUCCUCCUUUGAAAAAGCCCCCUCCAAGCCCAAAGCCUCCUGCUAAUCCAAAGUAUUGAAAUAUAUGCCACUAAUGCUUGGCCUCCAAUCACCAGAAUCAGACAAAAGAUGGUGAAAAGCCCGUGUCAUUCCUUGCUUAACUUCAGAUUCCUCUGUAAGCCACUCCCUGUCCACCUCGAUCUUGGUCAAAAAAUUCCUCUACCUAUGAGCAUUAGCCAUUUCGUGGAAAAACUUGGUGUUCUUAUCCCCCUCCUUCAACCAAGUCUCCCUAGACUUUUGCCUCCAUGAAACCUCCUCAAAAAGGGCCCAUUUGUGAAACUCUUCUUUUGCUGCCUGUCUAGAUACCUCCUCCUCCAGCAGUAGAGGAGAUUCCAUCUCUUUAGAGUCCCAGAAUCCCACCUGCUUCAAAGCCAACUCCUUUUGGAUAUCUACAUGACCAAAAACUAACCUCCUUAAUAUUUCUAUUCCUAAGCCAUCGACAAAAUUGAUAACAGAAAGAUUAGCAUUCAUCAUCAUCCCAUUUGAGCACAAGGACAAGGCUUUUCUAAAAACAAAUUUUUCACAAAUAUAACACCUAUUCCUCAAAGGUUCUUCUAUUGCAUUAUUUUCAAAUAGACCAAAAGAUUCAAUAUUUAAGGUUUAAACUACCAUGCAAUUAUCACUCAUAAGAACACCAUGCAAUUAAGCAACACCUCUCUAGGCUAUUGGAGGAGAACCCAUGACACAAAAAAAUGGAGAAAAACAAGUAUCACAAACCGGAAACCCGCGAUGAAUAUGAGCAUGCUCCGCACGCUUAUGAUUUUGUUACAAACCUGGAGUCUUGGCAAAGCCAACCCAAUAAUCUUUGCCUCUUGGUGUACUACUAAAUUAGCCAACACUAGUUAAUGAUCUUUAAAUUGCUCUCUCCAUGAAAACUUGCUCCAAUGGAGCUGACAACUGAAAACUCAUGUUCAGGAAGAAACCAUUCCAUUGCUUCCUAAUGGCUUUUCCACGACCUCAAAACAAUUGGCUACUUUAGUCACCUUUUUUUUUCUUUUUUUUUUUAACCGUGAAUGUCCGGGCCGGCUUACGCACACCUCGACUAAUCCCACGAGGCCCUGAAGUUAACAACCGGGUAAACCUCCAGUGGUCUUAAGGGGACUCGAAUUAGUGACCAUUGCGGAGCAAACCCAAAGCCGGACCAACUGAGCUACCCCUCAGGGUUGGCUUCUUUAGUCACUCUAAAGCUUCGUCUUCUUUGCAUCUCCAUGGAUUUCCUCACAGUUGCCUAUCUCCAUAAACUAUGGUGAUUUACUUCACUGUGAAAAUUUAAAGCCUCUUUCCCAGCAAGGCCUUACUUUUUUUUGAUAGUUAUAUAUAUAUAUUAAUAGGUUUCCCAGCAAGGCCUUGUUGAGAGCCUCAAGACAUCUAAUGCCCAAGUACCCUAUAGCCUUCUCUGAACAGACUGUUUACUGCCUCACCAAAUGAUCUUUUUGUUAAAAUGCAGUCCCUUUGAAUCUUUUUUAAUCUGUCCUUUACCUUCUGAGGAAUUGCUGGAGGCAGCAAAAAGCAUGAUCAUAAACUGGAGAAGAUGCUCUUUCAAAAGGAUAAGUGUACAACCGUUAGUGCAAAUAUUUUUUUCUUCCAUGUAAUUGAACCUCCCCUUAACUGAGGACCAAACAGAGGACUUGAAAGACACACCCAAGGGUAAUCCCAAAUACUUGGCAGGGAGUGUUCAAUCCACGUGGAAGCCCAAUUGCUUAGCCCCUUAACUCUCCCUGCCGGAAUGAAACAGUGGAACCUUUUAUAGUGAUCACAUUUGGCUUCUAUCUAGAUUCUCUGCUUAGUUUUUCUGAUUCAUAUCCUUAGAGCACUUUGGAAUUCUGGAGUUGCUUUGAAUUUUUUGGGGAAUAGUUCGAGGAAGAUUUUAAGUUGUCAGUGAAAGAAAAUGUGUUCUAGAAAAAUAAGCAUAUGUUGUCAUUUUAGGAUUAUUAUAAUCUUGAGGAUUCUGCUUUCUACUGAUGUUUAAGAUUUUUCCAACAUAAGUCCUUGAGGCCUGAUGAGGAAGGCAUUGGGGUAGGGGAUGUUGGAAGGUCUAGGGUUGAGUUCCAGCAAGAACCAGAGAAAAAAAAAGGUUACUUUCCCAAUGUAAUUCAAGAUUUUGCAUAUAGUUGAGGAGAUAUUUGUGGUAUUGGUUAUUCACAAUAGAUUCACUAUUGAAGUAAUAUGGUGGAAAUCCUAGCUAUGUCAGGUUCAAGAUAAGCUAUGCCCUGUGCAAACUAGGAAAAUGAUAUGAAAAAUUCAGAGGAGUUUCUUGCUUUCUUGCUUUUGUGUGGGCUCCCAGCUAAUAGUUUGGGAUUGAAGAAAGUUUUUACCAGCUGAUACAAGCAGUACUAAUUUUCAAAAUGCUUGGUUUAUUGUUAUAAAGUGUAUAAUUAACUAGCAUGAUUUAACAGGAAAGGGAAGCUAAUUUUCUUCCUUUUAUGCAUUAAAACGACUUGGAAUUAUUUGAGUUCUCUUGAUAUGUCAAAGCUGUUUUGGCUGGUUUUGAAUAAAAUUUUUACAGAAAGAGGGAUAAUAAUGGUUUGCAUUUCAUUUAUUUUCCUUCUUUUAUCUUUAAUAAGACUUUUGUGGUUACCUAUGCCUGAGAACUUGCAUUAUAUUUUUUAUUGUUGCUACUGAUUUCUCGAAGUUUUUAUUUUUAAUUUUUGUCUUUUUGUUCUGAUGUGUAUAUUUGAUGACAAUGAAGGGAGAUUGCCAAACAUCUCUCUCUUCCUCCAGUGAAGCUGCACUGCAGCAUGCUUGCUGAGGAUGCAAUUAAGGCAGCUGUCAAAGAUUAUGAAGCCAAGCGAGCAAAGACUGAGUAGGCUGUUGAAGGCUGAUUAUAGUGCCAAGUGCCACUAAGUAGUAAGAUACUUGAAGGAUUAUGACCUGUCUGUGAACAGGGGAUGGUACUUUGUGUAAAUUGCCUUAAAACUUGUUUCUGAAGUUUCAUGUAUGGAUAACUAGACAGUAAGGGGUUUCUUCCUUUAGCAGGUAUGGGUCAUGUGUACAUGUUUGUGCAUGGAUGUUUUCUACUCUCCCAAUCUUAAUAAUAAUAAUUGGUAACUGAGAAUUCUCAUCUUAUGAUAGAUGUAUUUAAAGACUAAUUGUUGCACCUAUGAGACCCGUAGUUGCUAUCCGGGUACUCACAUUUAGGAUUGGGAUGACCAAGGGUGGGUUCUCAUUUAGGAUGGCUCAUGAAAAUGCAAGAAUGUCUCACUGAGGUGAGUUGCUAGUUUGGGUAUGCACAUGAAACUUUUACCCAAAACCUCCUCUGUCUCUACCAAACAAAACAAAGUGGUAAAUCAUGCCACAGAAAUCUCUAUUUGAUUAGACAGCGCAUGCUCAGUCGCUGAUAGGUCAACUGGGAUUCUUAUGCUGGCUAACAACACUAUUGACACCAUCAGCAAAAUAUCACAAGGAGAAAAUGACGUUAAGAUGGCAAUUUCAUUAGUUCUGUUUAUAUUGGAGCGGUAUGUUCUCUUAACGAAGGGGAAGAAGAGUGUGACUCUCCUGGAUUGAAAGGUUUCAGCCUUACUUUUUGGUCUGGUAAACAAAUCUUGGUUCUCAUCCCAUUUUGUUCUCAUCGCAAUUCUACCAAACAACAAAUCGCUGCACUAGCAUUUUCGUUGUGAAGGGACGCGCUUACGUUCCCACCACCUCCUGUGUGAUGGGGCCUCGAGAGCGAGACCUAGCAAUGCCAAUCGUAUUUGGUCCACUUGAAGAUAAGAGUUGGGGAUAUACCAAAAUAUCCUCAAAGUACGGACAAAGGUAUCUCUAUCUUUCUUUUUUUAUUAUUAUCAUAGUUAUUAUUAUUAUGAUCAUUAUCAUUAUUAUUAUUAUUAUCACUGUUAUUAUAUAUAUAUAUAUAUAUAUAUAUAUAUAUAUGUCUUUUGUAAUUCAUGGUUGACUUUGUAUGUGGUAAUUCUACAAAUUCCACAGGGUUUGGAAUAUACUGAGAUGUUUGGAAGAAUUUGUUUUACAUGAGGGCUUUUGUAUGUGUAUCGAGUGUCGAUGUUUCCUAUCCUCGUCCACACCCUCAUCCUAUGUAUUCAUGCAGUUAAAAUCCUUUUCCACCUCUGCACCACCGGCUUUGGCUGCUUUCCUUAAUGUGUUGCCAGUCGCCAUCACCCUACAGGGACCACUACCACUUGUCAUACUGCCAGCCUACCUCUUGUUCUGCCAUAGAUCAAGAUGGCAAGUCAAAAUUAUCUAGAGCAAAUACAGAUUCUCUUGAUGAGGGACUUACCACCUGUCUUUCUAUAAGCCUCAUCUCAUCUCAUGAGCUGGAGAAUUUUUUCAUGGCCAACUUCUACUUCUACUUUUUAUUUGUUUGGAAGGUUGUUGAUCCUUUGAAAGUUGAUCCUUUGUAGGGUAGUCGCACAAAAUAUUGAUAAUGGAAAUAAGGAUAAAACACUGAUUUGGUAUCUUCAUUGGUGAGAGAGGAAGGUGCGCUAAUAACAUUGUAUGUGACAUCCCACAUUGGAUAAGGGGGAAAGUUUCUGACACUAUAUAAGUAUAGACUCCUCUUAACCAAGUAGACACAUUUUAAAGUUGUGAGAACCCCUUUAGGUCUAAAGUGGGCAAUAUCUAUAUGGUUGGGUGCGGAUCAUUACAAAUGGUAUCAGAGCCUAUCUCUGACCUUGAUGUAAGAGUUUGUUUGGCCCCGUAGGGGUGUUUGUUUGUUUGGUUCCGCAAUCCCAUGAGACACAACAAAGACGUUGUGUCUGCAUGAAAGGGUGUUUGUGACAUCCCACUACAAAAAUGUUGUGUCUACACCACGUGUUUGUAAACGUGUUUUAAAGCCGUGAGAGCUCCUUUAGGUUCAAAGCGGACAAUAUCUACAUGGUUAGGUGCGGGUCGUUACAUUGUAAGACUUACAAAUGAGGUAUAAUUUUGAUUGUUUUUUAGUUUAAUUCCUGGGCGUUCUAGUUGUUAUGGACUUUUUUUUGUAUACUCUUUCGUAUUUUACAUUUGAGCUCUUCUUUUGGGAUGUUUUUAAGGGUAAAAACAAGUUGAACUUCUCAAGGUUAAAUGGCUGAAGUUGACCUGAAAUCAAUCCUGAAGACAAAUUACAUUCCGGGUUAUUAGGAAAGAAAAUGGACCCAAAGAGGAAAGUGUAGCAUGAGAAUAAUGCGCACUACAAUAAUUUCAAGAAGAAUUCAUCAAAGAGGACAAACAAUUAAUCAAAAGUAGUAGUAGUAGUAGUUGUUGUUGUUCGUUUCUCUCCUGACUUGUACAUGUGCCAAAGUUGAAUAGCGACAUAUUUUGAUACCUUUCAUCGGGAGAGGUGGAAUUGAUGAGGAAAUGAACAAUGAAUGAAAAUCAAGCACGAGCGCAAGAGGCCAAACUUCCAACUGGGAAAUAUGUGGUCUUGGGACUGGCUCUUUACAUCCUCACAAUUAUUAAUCCUCCCUCUACCCUCCUCACCAAUGAUUUCCUUACAUAUAGGAUUAAGGCGUUUAAACUAUAUAUAUAUACAUAUAUAUAUUUUUUUUUUGCAAUUUAUAUUUGAUCUUUAAAUACGUUUUUAAUUAAGUUCCACACAAGCGAGUGUUUCCUUCACCAUGUCGUGUGUGGGAGUAUGUAUGGAGGGAUAGAAGGGGUAGAAGGGUAACUGAAGAGGCAAUGACAAGUGUUAUAGAGCGCUUACACGUGACGGCAGAGGAGCCUUUGAAUCCGACUCCACUCAAUACUGCCAAAUGCAUUUUUUGGGGUCUUAGGAACUCCCAAGAUGGAGGUCACCCUCUUGCCUCGAUUUCAUUUCUUGGCAGUUUGCAUACACUCUGCAAUAGAAAAAUAUUAGCCUUUUAAACAUGAUGAAAAUAUCUAUACUUUUUAUGAUUUCACAGAGUAAAAAUAAUUUUCUUUUUUCUGGUGGGAUAUGACCAACAACAAAGGUGUCCAGCCUAGCUUCUGGAAUACUCUCAUUAUUUGCUACAACCAUAUGUUAUGGACGCAUAUCACGCACCCUUGUUUUGCUCUGUUUAGAUCCGUAAUAUUAUAUUCUGCAAUCUGAUAUAAAUAUAUACCAUUAUGGGCUUAUGAAUUGAAUAGUUUUUCAAUCCAUUUUUUGUGAUCUCCAGAACUUUCAUGGUAUCAGAGUACUAGGAUUUUCUGGAGUAUUUUCUCUGCUUUCAAACACGAAGAUGACUUCUCAUUCCUCUUCAUCCCCUGCAUUUGAAGUAUCAUCAACUGUAGCUGCUUCAAUAUCGACUCAGACACCUAUUCAUAGUCCUUUUCAACCUUCCCAAGAACCGAAUCAUGCUUUGUUUAUAAGAUUAAACAAGACAAAUUAUAUUCUUUGACAUUCACAAAUGGAAAAUGCGAUUCACGGCAAUGGAUUUAAAGAAUUUGUUGAAGGGGUAGAAGCCAUGCCCUUCUAAAAUAGAUGAAUUGGAUGUGCAUAAUCCAUAAUUCAUAAUCUGGAGGAGAUUUGAUCAUAUGAUUCUUAGUUGACCUAUUCACCACUCACCCUUGGGAUUACCAUGCAGAUUGUGCGAGACACAACCUCUCACUCUACUAGGAGUGCAUUGAAGAAAAAUUUUUCUACCUCCUUAAGAGCUCGUAUCAUGCAACUAUGGUUGCAAUUUCAAACAUUGAAAAAAGCAUCCUUUGCUUCUGAUGGAGUACACUUUCAAAAUGAAGAGUAUUGCUAAUAGUCUUGCAGCUAUUUUCGAACUUGAGUACAUGACCAUGUGUUGUAGCUCCUUAGAGGAGUAGGUCUUUAAUAUAAAUCUCCGGUGGCUUUCAUCACUAUCUUAGAUAAUGAAGGUUGUCUUGAUUCUUUUCAUGACAUGCUUUUAGCACAUGAACAAUGUCUAGAGUAACAAAAUUCAAUAGAAGCAAAUGUUGCUAUCUCAGCCAGUGUUGUAGCUACUUAAGGUAAAAACUUAAACUAGAAGAGAUGAUGUAUCUUUAAUAAUCCUUGAGGUCCAGGUCACAUCUAGAAUUCGAAUUUUCUAGUGGAAUUCAUCAUGAUAGAACUAAUUUCAAUACUAGUCGCAGUUAAGGAGAAUGAGGCAACAAGUUUAGCAUGCCACAGUGCUAAUUCUAUGGUAAGUUUGAUCACAUUCGAUAUUUGUUACCAUCGUUUUGGUAUUAAUUACUAAGGACAUUAAAAAUGAAAAAUCUAAGGUGUCGUUUGUUGACUUUGGAACAACACAUCACAAGUCUUAGAAUAUUGGGAACCUCUGUAAUGUAUUCCUUCUAUGGAUCUAAUAAAGUGUCUAUGGGUAGUGGUAAGAAAAUUUCUAUUACUAUAUCUAUUGCUUAUGUUGGAACUGAAUUAUUUAAUUCUCCCUCGCAUUUUUUUUUUACAAUUAAACAUGUGUUUCAUGUGCCAAAUCUCUCACUCCCAAUCUCAUUAGUAUAGCCAAAUUCUAUACUAAUAAUCAUGCUUUUAUUAAGUUCUAUUCUAAGACUUUUGUUGUCAAGGAUCAAAUUUCAAGGCAAGCUUGAAAAUGUUUUGUGCAAGAUUCAAGUCUCUGAAUCUACCAAAUUUAGUUUAGCUUGUCAUUCUAAUAAGCCUUUUAAUCAUUUUGUUGUAAUCGUUAAUAAUGCUAUUAUUUGUUUGAUUUCUACCUCUUAAGACUUUUGAUAUUUGACAUUCCCAUUUAGACCACCCUUUUGUUGAAAUUGUAAAGAAGGUGAUCACACUCUAUAAUAGUCAUGUUUGUUCUAAUAAUAGCAUUGUUUGUUUUGCUUGCCAAUAUGCAUAAAAUCAUAGGUUACCAUUUCCUCUUUCUCAAUCCUGUGCUCUUACCCCUUUGGCUUUGAUUCACACUUUACAUUUGAGGAGUUGCACUUGUUGCCACUAUUGGUGCAUUAUACUUCAUUUUAAUUGUGGAUGAUUUUUCUCAAUUUUCUUGGUUGUAUCCUCUACAUACAAAGGAUCAAUCUUUGUUUGUAUUUCUUCAAUUCAACAAAUUUUGUAGAAAACCAAUUUAACACUAUAUCAAAUGUCUCAAUUUGAUUGUGGGAGUGAGUUUAAAGCCUUUUUCCUCAUUCUUAGCCAAUCAUGCAUUGAACAUUGAUUGUCAUACCCUAAAACUUCACAACAAAAUGGUGUGGUAAAAUAUAAGAAUCGUCAUGUUGUAGAAGCCAAGCUAGCCUUUUUAGCUCAAGCAUCUAUAUACUUCAAGUAUUGGUUAUAUGCAUUUCUUGCUAUUAUUUUUCUCAAAAACAAAAUGUUUUCUUCUAUGUUGAACUUUGAACCUUCUUAUUAGGUUCUUUUUGGAUCAAUAUCUGAUUAUCCUUUCUUUAAAUCCUUUGGUUGUCUUUGUUAUCCCCUUAUUUGUCCUUUAAAUAAACACAAACCGUAAUAUCACUCUACCCAAUGUCUUUUUAUCUGUUAUAAAACUUUUCACAAAAGAUAUCUUUGCCUUGAUUGGUCAUCUAGUAGAGUUUACAUAAUUCAUCAUUUUGUCAUUGAUGAAUCUUGUUUCCUAUGGCUAUAGGAAGUCUUACUAAUGUUUCUCUUGACUCAUCUCUUUUCCUUCUUCUACUUGUUUUUCUUCCUAUGCCAUUGCAUUCUCCUUCUCGUGCUCUCUUUAAUCCUUUAAAUCUACUCCUCAUUCUUCUUGAAUUUUACCUACUCCAACCUAUAGUUUUA
rnacentral:lncRNA from 1 species